UUAAAAUACAAAAAUGAAAUAAAUUAAAACAUGCAAAAUAUACAAUAAACAAAUUAAAAUCAUUAAAAUAUCCCGUAUUAUGGGUAGACAACAUUAUUUAUAAUAUUUACAAGUUGCGCAACGAAAAACAAUUUUACAACCCUAUUUACAAUAUGUACACCACAUUCGAUCACAUUCGAUAUGCACGGCCGAACCCCCUGGCGGGAUUGAUUCGCCGGCGGGCAAACUGUCAAUGAGUGACAGUUCGCCGAAACGUCAUAAAUCUGUCAGAGUCAACUGACACAGCAUUUCUAUUGUUCGAUAUGUUUAUGUUUAUGCUGUGCAGUAAUGGAAAAUAACGAAGUUAAAAGUGGCCUUUUUAGUGAAUAAAUCGGUUGAAUGAAUUCAUUCAGGUGGGUUGCUGUGCUAUGUGGCAACAAUCUUUACGGCGAAAGAUUGUCCCAUAGCAAACCCAUAACGGUCCCGGGACGGACACCAUGAUAAUCAUCUUGCCUCUGCAAGAUGCAAUCAGAUUUGGCCAAUUUAUGCAAAUUGGGCGAUCCCCUCCCAACAGCUCCACAGGUGGAGUGAGAUGAGGGCAUAUUGGUGUAACCCCUCGCCUCCCGCUCCGAUCCUGCCAGUGUUGGUAUGGAUCCCCGUAAUAAAUCAGAUGUUUAUCCUUUCGGCGGUGAUUGGCACCAAGUGACUGGGGGCAAAUAACAAUCCCGCACAGCACCGGGAGGUGGACAAUCUGCCGUAGGUAAAAAAAAUAGAAAAGAGUGAGA